rnacentral:tRNA from 1 species
AAAAGAUUAGUUUAAAACAAAACAUUAACUUGUCAAGUUAAAAAUACUUAAAUUUAAGUAUCUUUUA